rnacentral:rRNA from 1 species
AAACUGGAGAGUUUGAUCCUGGCUCAGAACUAACGCUGGCGGCGUGCCUAACACAUGCAAGUCGUACGAGAAAGUUGGCUUCGGCUGAUGAGUAAAGUGGCGCACGGGUGAGUAACGCGUGGAUAAUCUGCCUUUUAGUUGGGAAUAACGUACCGAAAGGUGCGCUAAUACCGGAUAAUACUGAGUGACUACUGUUGCUUAGUCAAAGAAGGCCUCUGUUUACAAGCUUUUGCUGAAAGAUGAGUCCGCGUACCAUUAGCUAGUUGGUAGGGUAAUGGCCUACCAAGGCUACGAUGGUUAGCUGGUCUGAGAGGAUGAUCAGCCACACUGGAACUGAGACACGGUCCAGACUCCUACGGGAGGCAGCAGUGAGGAAUAUUGCGCAAUGG